CGGAUAGAGCUAGCGAAAUCGCUUGUAUUCAGCCAAAGACCCGUGGACGCCAUUCGUUGAGUUGCUAAUCAUGCUCUGCGUGUGUCCGUCUUAUGGGUUCAGGUGCAUUUGCGGGCGUAUGCGCUGAGACUUGUGGGGUAGCUGCAAAACCUUUGCUUAGAGGCCUCCCUCUGGGUGGAACCUAGGCGCUGUGAAGGCUGUUUGCCCCGCUCGUAUGUUGAGACGGAUUGCUUUAUCUGUGCGGCUGUUUCCUUGCAAUGGUAUCGCAUGCGAUGCCUAGCUUGGGAGCUGUUGUGUAGGUCGGGUAACCGUUUCUUUCUCGGUGUAGAAGCUGGUCAUCUCUCCGACCCGUCUUGAAACACGGACCAAGGAGUUUAGCGUUUGCGCGAGUCAUUGGGUGUUAAAAACUCAUAGGCGCAAUGAAAGUGAAGGCCUGGUCGCUGGGCUGACAUGCGAGUGUUGUGGCUUCGGCCCUGACAUGAAGCAUGGUCCCGUUCUGGUCGCUUGCGACGGAGCGGAGACAGAGCGUAUGCGCUGAG
rnacentral:rRNA from 1 species